UUGCUCAAUUCUCAAACAUGGAUAGCUUCUUUACGGAUGAUGUUGAGCUUUCAUAUUGUGAAACCCAAAUAGCAUGUCCUAGUCACGUACUUACCAUAAAUGGCUGUGUUCUUGUUGCAUCCAGGUGCUCUGUACCUUCUAGGUGCCGCAUAUUUGACUGGGGACUGUGUGAAGCAAGAUAUGGCGUCAGCCUUGUGGUGUUUCCAUAAAGCUUCAGAGAAGGGGCUUCUGGAAGGGGAUUCAAAAUGAAAGAGGUCUAUUGCAAAUUCUAUCUUCCACAAGUAUUGCUAAAGGGAAGGAUGUGAAAUUUUGGAAAGACAAAUGGAGGGGGGCUGUUCCUUUCUGUUCGAUCCAGAAGAAGGCCUUUUAAGCAGCUAUUCAAAAGGAUGGAAAAAUGGCUGAUCUUAUUUAUCAGGGGAGGUGGAAUAUUCAAUUCAAGAGACAGUAUGGAGGAUAAUGUGGAUCAUAUUUUACUCCGCUGUACCUUAUCGAGGUAGAUUUGGGAUUAAUUUAGUUCAACAAUGCAACAUUCUUGGUCUCACAAGACUUCAGUAAAGUAGCAAUUUGAGGUUUGAUCUGACCUUAAUGGGAAAAGGCUAGCUAGAAAGUUGUGGAAGUUGCUUCCCUUUGCAAAUGUGUGGGCUCUGUGGUCUGAAAGGAACAAGAGAGUGAUGUCCAAGAAAAGUAGUAGAGAGGCUGAAGCGAUCAUCAAUGAAGUGAAGAGAUUGAUUUUUCAGUGGGGUGAGUUUAUGGCUGGUUUCGUUUCUUGUCCUUCAGAGAUUUCUUAAUAAAUUGGGAGGCUGUUAUGGAUACGAAUUGAGGGGAGAGUGUUUUGUUUCUUCUGUCCUGACUCCUGAAGCUUGCCUUCAGGUUGCUUAUAAUUUCGUUUUAGUUCCUGCAAUAAUAUUUUAACUUUCAUUGCCU